rnacentral:rRNA from 1 species
CGACGCCGCGUGGGGAUGAAGGUCUUCGGAUUGUAAACCCCUGUCAUCCGGGAACAAUGGCUACGACCUAACACGUCGUGACUUGAUAGUACCGGAAGAGGAAGCCGUGGCUAACUCUGUGCCAGCAGCCGCGGUAAUACAGAGACGGCUAGCGUUGCUCGGAUUCAUUGGGCGUAAAGGGUUCGCAGGCGGUCGGGCAAGUCGGAUGUGAAAGCCCACGGCUUAACCGUGGAGAGUCAUUCGAAACUGCUCGACUGGAGGACUGGAGAGGAGACUGGAAUGGUCGGUGUAGCGGUGAAAUGCGUAGAGAUCGACCAGAACACCAGUGGCGAAGGCGGGUCUCUGGCCAGUUCCUGACGCUCAGGAACGAAAGCGUGGGGAGCAAACGGGAUUAGAUACCCCGGUAGUCCACGCCCUAAGCUGUGCUCACUUGCUGUGAGGGGAGUCGACCCCCCUUGUGGCGAAGCCAACGCGUUAAGUGAGCCGCCUGGGGACUACGGCCGCAAGGUUA